GCUGUCCCUCAGUGGUAGAACAUCUGCCUUGUACACAGAAGGCCCCAGGUUCAAUCUUUCAAUAGGACUGGAAGGGUUUCCCUGCCGGAAACU